rnacentral:rRNA from 1 species
UGUCACACGGGACCGCCGGUUUUUAAAGCCGGAGGAAGGUGAGGAUGACGUCAAGUCAGCAUGGCCUUUAUACUCUUGGGCUACACACACGCUACAUGGCCAGUACAACAGGAAGCGAAGUCGCAAGGCGAAGCCAAUCCCUAAAGCUGGUCUCAGUUCGGAUUGCAGGCUGCAACUCGCCUGCAUGAAGCCGGAGUUGCUAGUAACCGCAGGUCAGCUAUACUCGCGGUCGAAUACGUUCCCGGGCCUU